GAUGAACGCUGGCGGCGUGCCUAAUACAUGCAAGUCGAGCGAACAGAUAAGGAGCUUGCUCCUUUGACGUUAGCGGCGGACGGGUGAGUAACACGUGGGUAACCUACCUAUAAGACUGGGAUAACUUCGGGAAACCGGAGCUAAUACCGGAUAACAUUUGGAACCGCAUGGUUCUAAAGUGAAAGAUGGUUUUGCUAUCACUUAUAGAUGGACCCGCGCCGUAUUAGCUAGUUGGUAAGGUAACGGCUUACCAAGGCGACGAUACGUAGCCGACCUGAGAGGGGGGACGCCACACCGGGAAGGGAGACCCGUCCGAGACCCGGAGGGGGGGCGGCGGAGGGGAUUUUUCGGAAAGGGAGAAAAGCCGGAGGGAGCAACGCGGGGGGAGGGAGAAGGGUUUUGGGCUGGAAAAACUUUUUAAUAGGGGAAAAAAAAAUGUGAAAGUAACGGGGCAGGUUUGGAGGGAACUUAAUAAGAAGACCACGGCAAACUACGUG
rnacentral:rRNA from 1 species